UACGUAGGGGGCAAGCGUUGUCCGGAAUCAUUGGGCGUAAAGCGCGUGUAGGCGGCCCGGUAAGUCCGCUGUGAAAUCCCGGAGCUCAACUUCGGAACUGCCUUUGAUACAGCACAUCUGGAGUCCGGAAGAGGUGGGUGGAAUUCCUAGUGUAGAGGUGAAAUUCGUAGAUAUUAGGAAGAACACCGGUGGCGAAGGCGGCCCACUGGUCCGGUACUGACGCUGAGGUGCGAAAGCGUGGGGAGCAAACAGG
rnacentral:rRNA from 1 species